rnacentral:rRNA from 1 species
AACCCAUGCCCUUCCCUUGGGUGUGGCGGGGAAAACAGGACUUUUACUUGUGAAAAAAUUAGAGUGCUCCAGGCAGGCCUAUGCUNGAAUACAUUAGCAUGGAAUUAUAGAAUAGGACGUGUGGUUNUAUUUUGUUGGUUUCUAGGACCGCCGUAAUGAUUAAUAGGGACAGUCGGGGGCAUCAGUAUUCAAUUGUCAGAGGUGAAAUUCUUGGAUUUAUUGAAGACUAACUACUGCGAAAGCAUUUGCCAAGGAUGUUUUCAUUAAUCAGGAACGAAAGUUAGGGGAUCGAAGACGAUCAGAUACCGUGGUAGUNUUAACCCAUAAACUAUGCCGACUAGGGAUCGGACGGUGUUAUUUUUUGACCCGUUCGGCACCUUACGAGAAAUCAAAGUGCUUGGGCUCCAGGGGGAGUAUGGUCGCAAGGCUGAAACUUAAAGAAAUUGACGGAAGGGCACCACCAGGGGUGGAGCCUGCGGCUUAAUUUGACUCAACACGGGGAAACUCACCAGGUCCAGACACAAUGAGGAUUGACAGAUUGAGAGCUCUUUCUUGAUUUUGUGGGUGGUGGUGCAUGGCCGUUCUUAGUUGGUGGAGUGAUUUGUCUGCUUAAUUGCGAUAACGAACGAGACCU